GACGUAGGGCGCGAGCGUUGUCCGGAUUUAUUGGGCGUAAAGAGCUCGUAGGCGGUCUGUCGCGUCUGCUGUGAAAACCUAGGGCUUAACUCUGGGCGUGCAGUGGGGUACGGGCAGGCUAGAGUGCGGUAGGGGAGACUGGAAUUCCUGGUGUAGCGGUGAAAUGCGCAGAUAUCAGGAGGAACACCGGUGGCGAAGGCGGGUCUCUGGGCAGUAACUGACGCUGAGGAGCGAAAAGCGUGGGGGAGCGAACAGG
rnacentral:rRNA from 1 species